AUCAAGGCUUUAUUUAAAGCCAUUCAGUCCCGAAAGAUGGUGUUUU
rfam:Gossypium hirsutum cultivar TM-1 chromosome 12, whole genome shotgun sequence